UUCGGGUCUAGCGGCGGACGGGUGAGUAACGCGUGGGAACGUGCCCUUUUCUACGGAAUAGCCUCGGGAAACUGAGCGUAAUACCGUAUACGCCCUUUGGGGGAAAGAUUUAUCGGAAAAGGAUCGGCCCGCGUUGGAUUAGGUAGUUGGUGGGGUAAUGGCCUACCAAGCCUACGAUCCAUAGCUGGUUUGAGAGGAUGAUCAGCCACACUGGGACUGAGACACGGCCCAGACUCC
rnacentral:rRNA from 1 species